UGGGGAAUUUUGGACAAUGGGCGCAAGCCUGAUCCAGCAAUGCCGCGUGCAGGAUGAAGGCCUUCGGGUUGUAAACUGCUUUUGUACGGAACGAAAAGCUUCUGGUUAAUACCUGGGAGUCAUGACGGUACCGUAAGAAUAAGCACCGGCUGACUACGUGCCAGCAGCCGCGGUAAUACGUAGGGUGCGAGCGUUAAUCGGAAUUACUGGGCGUAAAGCGUGCGCAGGCGGUUACGUAAGACAGAGGUGAAAUCCCCGGGCUCAACCUGGGAACUGCCUUUGUGACUGCAUGGCUAGAGUGCGGCAGAGGGGGAUGGAAUUCCGCGUGUAGCAGUGAAAUGCGUAGAUAUGCGGAGGAACGCCGAUGGCGAAGGCAAUCCCCUGGGCCUGCACUGACGCUCAUGCACGAAAGCGUGGGGAGCAAACA
rnacentral:rRNA from 1 species